UACAUCUAAGGGUUAUACAGCACAACCUUGACGUAAUGCCUUGUUCAAGUUCAAAUAGUGAAGGCUCCAAAUCAUAGAUUGUUGCACUGGGCAUUGUCUUGCUGUAAUAUGUUUAACUCCAGAUGGGCUCGGCAACUAAGGAUCCAUAAAUAGACAUCCUCUUCUCCAUGACCCCUAAGGCCAACAAAGUUCCUGCAACAGCAGUUAUAAUUCAGUUGAAAACUAUCAGGAAUUUUGCCCAAAUAACCUUACCUAAAAAGCCUGACCUAUGAAUGAGAGUCAUGUUGCAAUCCCUCUUCAAACUAACUGUUCAUUUGAUUCUUCCUCAUAUAAACGAAAAUAACAUUUACGAUUUGAUAGACGGACAUGUUGGGGUGACAUUACAAAUCAAGAAAAGCACAAAUAGUAAUGUCCUCUAUAUACCUUAGAAAAACACCACCUAUAAGGAAAAAGAGAACCCCACCUGAAGUAAUGAUAAAUUUCAGAUGUAGUCUAUGAUGAGAGAUGCUCUACCAUUGUGUAGGAGAUGCAACAGUCAAGUUAAUCUAAUGCACCUCACCUGUCUGAAUAUUCACGUCCAAAACACUAUCAAUUAUCUGGUGGAUAUGCUGUACCACAAGAACUUUUAAGGAGAAGUUAGUGCCAAAGCAUCAUUUGUAUGUACCAACUACCAAGUACCAACGAUGAAUCUACAAUAGUAGUCAAAA